CGGGGAAUUUUGGACAAUGGGCGAAAGCCUGAUCCAGCAAUGCCGCGUGUGUGAAGAAGGCCUUCGGGUUGUAAAGCACUUUUGUCCGGAAAGAAAUCCUCUGGGUUAAUACCUCGGGGGGAUGACGGUACCGGAAGAAUAAGCACCGGCUAACUACGUGCCAGCAGCCGCGGUAAUACGUAGGGUGCAAGCGUUAAUCGGAAUUACUGGGCGUAAAGCGUGCGCAGGCGGUUUUGUAAGACGGAUGUGAAAUCCCCGGGCUUAACCUGGGAACUGCAUUCGUGACUGCAAGGCUAGAGUAUGGCAGAGGGGGGUAGAAUUCCACGUGUAGCAGUGAAAUGCGUAGAGAUGUGGAGGAAUACCGAUGGCGAAGGCAGCCCCCUGGGCCAAUACUGACGCUCAUGCACGAAAGCGUGGGGAGCAAACAGGAUUAGAUACCCUGGUAGUCCACGCCCUAAACGAUGUCAACUAGUUGUUGGGGAUUCAUUUCUUAGUAACGUAGCUAACGCGUGAAGUUGACCGCCUGGGGAGUACGGUCGCAAGAUUAAAACUC
rnacentral:rRNA from 1 species